CACACACACACACACAGAGAUAGAGAGAGCUAAAGCCCCCCCACUUAGGGUGGCAAACACCCUAAACAGAGGGUGGUGGGGGAAAGAAGACAGACAGAGUGUGAGAGAGACACCUAGAGAGAUAAUAAAGAGACUAUCGCACGAUUCGGAAUCGUACAUAUGUGAAAUGAUAAAAAUUUAUGAGAAUCUUAAAAUCGAGUAGUCCUCGAUUUCAAAGUUAUCAGAAAUAUAUGUAACAAUGCUUCUCGUUCCCCCAUAAAAAUUCAUUAUCAAACUUGUUUUGUUGUCGACAACAUAAAAAAAAAAACUAAAAGUUUCGAUAUCUAAAAAUUCGGUUUUUUUCUUAGCUAUAUAUUUUUUGUGAACUUUUCCCCUCUCAAAAAUGUUCCUCAGAAUGCCUGCCAUAAAGAAGGGCUCCAAGGACAGCAAAAAGGUAGCUACCCCUGAAGCUAAUGCCCAGCCGGGUAUAAUCGAUCUCUCUGCAUUGCCAACGGCCGGCUUUAUACCCAGCAGAUCGGCCAAGAAGACAUCCAAUAAGCCUAAAGCGAAGAGGGCAACAAAUUUUAACAUCUAAAGGAUCGCAAAGGAUGGAUGGAGAAGAAACCAAAAAAUGUAGAGUAAACUGCAAUAAAAACCGUUAUCGAAACUAAAAA